rnacentral:snoRNA from 1 species
CCCUUCCAGAUUCCAUACCCCUCAGAUCUCAAUAUUGGCCUGAGUGGCUUAAAAAAGGAGGGAAAGUAAACCUGAAGUGGACUUGGGGUCUUUAAUGACACACAAGUUCAUUUCAAACAUAA